GACGAACGCUGGCGGCGUGCUUAACACAUGCAAGUCGAACGGAAAGUCCCGGCUUUGUGGGGCUGCGCGAGGUGCGAACGGGUGAGUAACACUUGAGUAACCUACCCCUGACUUUGGGAUAACUUAAUGAAGCUUGGGCUAAUACCGGAUAGGAGUUCCUGCUGCUGGGUGGGGGUGGGAAAGUUUCGGCGGUUGGGGGUGGACUCGCCGCUUAUCAGCUUGUUGGUUGGGUAGUGGCUUACCAAGGCUUUGACGGGUAGCCGGCCUGAACGGGUGACCGGACCCGCUGGGACUGAGCUACGGCACAGACCCCUACGGGAGGCGGCAGUGCGGUAUAUUGUAUUAUGGACGGAAGCAUGAUGCAGCACCGCCGCGUGCGGGAUGACGGCAAUCGGGUUGUAUUGCGCUUCCCCCUGUGACGAAGCGUGAGUGACGGUAAUGGGUAAAGAAGCACCGGCUAACUACGUG
rnacentral:rRNA from 1 species